CAUUUAAUAGUUGAUACUGAGAUACACAUUUUUAAAAUAAUGAUGUUUACACAUUUCAGAAUAGAAAGAAAAUAUCUUCCUAAAGCCACAUUUCAAAUGUACGAAUUUCUCUAAUAUUAUUCUGACUAUACAGUAGACUUUCCAAUUGUUAAAUCAGAGAUAUUUGUCUUUUAUGUCUCAUCAAAUAUAACUCUGCCUAUGAAAAAUUUCUAAGUAAAAUUUUCAUUUUAUAAAAGCCCCUAACACCAUUAGUUUCAUUGCCUAAAAGUGCUAUGUUGAAAAAUAACUUACAGGUUUAAAU
rnacentral:lncRNA from 1 species